CAGCAGCCACGGUAAUACGGAGGGUGCAAGCGUUAAUCGGAAUUACUGGGCGUAAAGCGCACGCAGGCGGUUUGUUAAGUCAGAUGUGAAAUCCCCGAGCUUAACUUGGGAACUGCAUUUGAAACUGGCAAGCUAGAGUCUUGUAGAGGGGGGUAGAAUUCCAGGUGUAGCGGUGAAAUGCGUAGAGAUCUGGAGGAAUACCGGUGGCGAAGGCGGCCCCCUGGACAAAGACUGACGCUCAGGUGCGAAAGCGUGGGGAGCAAACAGGAUUAGAUACCCGUGUAGUCCCUGUCUCUUAUAC
rnacentral:rRNA from 1 species